AGGACGAACGCUGGCGGCGCGCUUAACACAUGCAAGUCGAGCGAGAACCAGUCCUUCGGGCUGGGGACAGCGGCGAACGGGUGAGUAACACGUGGAUAAUCAACCCUCGACACUGGGAUAGCCCGGGGAAACCCGGAUUAAUACCGGAUGGCCCAACAGCUCUUCGGGGCGGUUGGAAAAGGUAGCUUCGGCCUCCGACCAAGGACGAGCCCGCGGCGGAUUAGCUUGUUGGUGAGGUAACGGCUCACCAAGGCGACGAUCCGUAGCUGGUCUGAGAGGACGAUCAGCCACACUGGGACUGAGACACGGCCCAGACUCCUACGGGAGGCAGCAGUGGGGAAUCUUGCACAAUGGGCGAAAGCCUGAUGCAGCGACGCCGCGUGAGGGAAGAAGGCUUUCGGGUUGUAAACCUCUUUCAGGAGGGACGAAGCUACUCGGGUUAAUAGCCCAGAGGGUGACGGUACCUUCAGAAGAAGCCCCGGCUAACUACGUGCCAGCACGCCGC
rnacentral:rRNA from 1 species